CCCCAGGUAGAAACUUUGUACUUGAUUUUUUUCUUAAUCAUCAAACAAUUUGCGUUAAUAUUUACGUGUAAAUAUAUUUUGUGUUGAUAGGUAAAUCACUGAAUAGAAUAUGGAGAGUAAUAAUAAAGAAGAACUGAAAUCUGAAUUAUUUAUUAUGGAAAAUAAGAAUGAAGAGAAAUUGAAGACUGGAUUAUUUAAUUGUUAAAUGUUAAGUACUUUUCUAUGUAUUACAGAUUUCUAUGUACGUACAAUUACAAAUUCAAUAUCUAAUUAAUAAAUACACGUUUUCCAAAUCUAUUUUCUUGGUUAAUGUUGAGUUAUGUGAAAAUAUUUUGUAUUCCAAUAUUUUUGUAUGUAAGUUUUCAUUCAUUGGCUAUACUACUUUAAUGAUAGUCUGGAAAAAUAGUUACUUUAAGGAAAAGUUAUUUAUUGUAACAAUUUAUACAUUUUGAAAUAAAAAAAUAAAUUUAUAGUAUGGGAA